rnacentral:lncRNA from 10 species
GAGAGUGCAGUCAAGCCAGUUGGGCACUGAGUCAGAAUUAGACCUACAGUCUCCCUGGAACUUGUGCAUCCCCCACCCUUCUCCCUGUCUUGGCUUCCUGUUGUCCACAUGAGUCACCAGCUGCUGCCAUCCUCUGGAAGAAGGGAAAAGAAAAAGUGGAGCACAGAAAUGAAAGAAAGGAUAAAAGGAAAAGAAAGGGAAGGAGAGGUGUUCUGGAAGUGCCUACCUGGUUCAGAAGGAGACAGCUGAAAUCAAGCCAAUGGAGGAGCAUGAGAGAAGCUGUGUCGUGAUGGACCGCACCCAUCCUUCCCACUCUGUGUUCUCUUUGUCCUGACUUUAUUGAUGGGGUGAGGUGGACUUCUUGUAAAUCCAUCAGAAAGAUAUCUGAAGCAUACCUCGGGGUAUAUAUUAAAUCUAAGAACCUGAUGUCCUUUUACUGCUGCCCCUGAAUAAAAAUUAUGCAUCUGUUUCCGCACUUGACCAUGUCUCAGAUUUGCUGAUUUUCUUUGCUUAUGCUCAUCUUGCCAAGUUUUGAGGGAAUGGGCACUUCUCCGAGGCAGUGAAAGUCUCCUGAGAAAUAAUUAAUCCAUGAAUUGUUCACUUGAGAGAGUAACUGUGAACCCAGCAGCAUGCUCUUAUGCAGCCUCCUGAAUUUAAAAGCCUGUGCUUAGCACAGGUGCAUCGUGUGGCUUCAUGUGAUGUGUGCUACUCAGGGAACUCACUUGCUCUACAAACAUUACCAAGCACCCACUAUGUGAAAGCUCGGUGCUUGGGAGGUGCUAGGGAGACUCCCAAAGCCAGAGCACAGAGUUGGUGGCAUAGCAGUAAGGACAGCUGCUGUCCAAAGACACAGCAUGCUCCAUAACAAAGGAGGAAGAGGGUUUCGGGAAGAUGAGCAACAGCCUGGACUCUGGAGCCAGACAGACCCGGGCUUUUACCCACCACCAGCUUCGCCACUGCACAGCCAGGGAUUUUACACAUUACCAAGCCCCCGCUAAGCCUUGCUUUCUUCCUCUCUGAAAUGGAGAGAAAUGCAAGACUGUUGCAAAGUUUAAGUGAGCAAAUGAAAGCGAAGUGUUCCACCAGUGUCCAAUGUAUUAAAUGAAUAAUGACUACUCCCAGCACCUGAAUUUAGCUGGGCUAUUUUAUUUAAGGUAUGUCUCAGUGCAUGGCUGUAUUAAAAAAAAAACAGUUUCUCCCACAGAAAGCUUUGGAACAAAUGUCUUGUCUGAAUGUGCCGUAAGGAGGUGAAGAGAUUGCAUUCUACAAUUAAGAGCAAGCAGGGCUCCCCAACCAUUCUCUUUACUCCUCUCCCUCCCGCAAAUCCCACACCUCAUGCAAUGACCCCACCUCUCUACUUUUCAUAAGUCCUCCUCCAACUCCUCACCUGACUCUCCCACUCUUCUCCUCACUCCCAAAC